rnacentral:rRNA from 1 species
CCUGGCUUAGGAUGAACGCUAGCGGCAGGCUUAACACAUGCAAGUCGAGGGGCAGCGCGGAUAGCAAUAUCUGGCGGCGACCGGCGGAAGGGUGCGUAACGCGUGAGCAACUUGCCCGUAUCUGGGGGAUAGUCAUUGGAAACGAUGCGUAAUACCCCAUAACAACAGAGGCUGCAUGACCUUUGUUUGAAAGCUUCGGUGGAUACGGAUAGGCUCGCGAGACAUUAGCUAGUUGGAGUGGUAACGGCACACCAAGGCGACGAUGUCUAGGGGUUCUGAGAGGAAGGUCCCCCACAUUGGAACUGAGACACGGUCCAAACUCCUACGGGAGGCAGCAGUGAGGAAUAUUGGUCAAUGGCCGGAAGGCUGAACCAGCCAUGCCGCGUGCAGGAAUAAGGCCCCCUAUGGGUCGUAAACUGCUUUUGUGGUGGAGCAAUAAGACGUACGUGUACGUCGAUGAGAGUACAUCACGAAUAAGCAUCGGCUAACUCCGUGCCAGCAGCAGC